UGGGGAAUUUUGGACAAUGGGCGAAAGCCUGAUCCAGCAAUGCCGCGUGUGUGAAGAAGGCCUUCGGGUUGUAAAGCACUUUUGUCCGGAAAGAAAUCCUUGGCUCUAAUACAGUCGGGGGAUGACGGUACCGGAAGAAUAAGCACCGGCUAACUACGUGCCAGCAGCCGCGGUAAUACGUAGGGUGCAAGCGUUAAUCGGAAUUACUGGGGCGUAAAGCGUGCGCAGGCGGUUUGCUAAGACCGAUGUGAAAUCCCCGGGCUCAACCUGGGAACUGCAUUGGUGACUGGCAGGCUAGAGUAUGGCAGAGGGGGGUAGAAUUCCACGUGUAGCAGUGAAAUGCGUAGAGAUGUGGAGGAAUACCGAUGGCGAAGGCAGCCCCCUGGGGCCAAUACUGACGCUCAUGCACGAAAGCGUGGGGGAGCAAACAGGAUUCAGAUACCCUGGUAGUCCACGCCCUAAACGAUGUCAACUAGUUGUUGGGAUUCAUUUCCUUAGUAACGUAGCUAACGCGUGAAGUUGACCGCCUGGGGAGUACGGUCGC
rnacentral:rRNA from 1 species